rnacentral:lncRNA from 1 species
ACCGCAUUUUGAAACGGGCAUAAAAAAUUCAAAAAAAAUCAAAAAAUUGGAAAACCUUCGCAUUGUGUCAUUAUAUGUGACCAAGUUACCAGGAAAAAUAAUAAACUUGUAAUACGGCAAAUCUUUUAAAAAUGUGUUCUCAGAAAUGAGCUACCAUGUGUGAAGAUUUAUGGGUUUCAACCCAAAUGAUCAAUCUUAUGGCCACAUUCAUGUCAUAGUUUGUUCAAAUGAUCUCAUAUUGUGCACAAGGGUGCAUAUUAGAAUGGCAAACAAUAUUGCCUAAGGAAGUUUUCAUUUUCUUUGGACGAAAAAACCAUUUUCCAUUUUUCUAGUGGCCAAAAGGAGGUUUUUCUGUGAAGAACCUACCAAAUAAUUGUUGCAAAAUUGGACCAAAUCAUUUUUAUAAAAUACUAGGCCAUAUUUAAUGCACAAUUGACCAAAUGGUUGGGUGUAAAAAGUUUUGAUCCACCUCUCGUGAAAAAGACAAAUUUCCGCCGAUUCAGGUGGAAGCGGGUCAAAUUUGAACUGGAGCUGCCUUGUAGUUUGCUCUUUAUUUUUUCCAAAAAUUAUUUCUAGGUACAAAAGUAUGUAUUUAAUCAGAGAAACACCAAAAAAUUCCAAGAUUCAACCACUAGCUAGGAACGGUCAAGCCCGCCGUUUUGACCGCAUUUUGAAACGGGCAUAAAAAAUUCAAAAAAAAAAUCAAAAAAUCGGGAAACCUUCGCAUUGUGUCAUUAUAUGUGGCCGAGUUCCUAGGAAAAAUAACAAACUUGUAUUAUGGCAAUUAUUUUAAAAAAGUGUUAUCAGAAACGAGCUAUCACGUGUGGAGAUCAAUGGCUUUCAAGAUAAACGAUCAAUCUUAUGGCCACAUUCAUGGCAUAGUUUGUUCAAAUGAUCUCACAUUGUGCACACGGGUGCAUAUUGGAAUUGCAAACAAUGUUGCCUAAGGAAGUUUUCAUUUUCUUUGGACGAAAAAACCAUUUUCCAUUUUUUGAGUGCCCAAAAGGAGGUUUUUUGUGAAGAGCCUACCAAAUAAUUGUUGCAAAAUUGGACCAAAUCAUUUUUCUAAAACACUCGGCCAUAUUUAAUGCACAAUUGACCAAAUGGAUGGGUGUAAAAAGUUUUGAGCCACCUCUCGUGAAAAAGACAAAUUUCUGCCGAUUUAGUUGGAAGCGGGUCAAAUUUGAACUGUAGCUGCCUUGUAGUUUGCUCUUUAUUUUUUUCCAAAAAUCAUUUAUAGGUACAAAAGUAUGUAUUUAAUCAGAGAAACACCAAAAUAAUUCUAAGAUUCAACCACUAGCUAGGAACGGUCAAGCCCGCCGUUUUGACCGCAUAUUGAAACGGGCAUAAAAAUUAAAAAAAGAAUCAAAAACUUGGAAAACCUUCGCAUUGUGUCAUUAUAUGUGACCAAGUUACGAGGAAAAAUAAUAAACUGGUAAUACGGAAAUUCUUUUAAAAAAGUGUUCUCAGAAAUGAGCUAUCAUGUGUGAAGAUUUAUUGGUUUCAACCCAAAUGAUCAAUCUUAUGGCCACAUUCAUGGCAUAGUUUGUUCAAAUGAUCUCAUAUUGUGCACAAGGGUGCAUAUUGGAAUGGCAAACAAUAUUGCCUAAGGAAGUUUUCAUUUUCUUCGGACGAAAAAACCAUUUUCAAUUUUUCGAGUGCCCAAAAGGAGGUUUUUUGUGAAGAACCUACCAAAUAAUUGUUGCAAAAUUGGACCAAAUCAUUUUUAUAAAAUACUAGGCCAUAUUUAAUGCAUAAUUGACCAAAUGGUUGGGUGUAAAAAGUUUUGAUCCACCUCUCGUGAAAAAAACAAAUUUCCGCCGAUUCAGUUGGAAGCGGGUCAAAUUUGAACUGUAGCUGCCUUGUAGUUUGCUCUUUUUUUUUCCAAAAAUCAUUUAUAGGUACAUAAGUAUCUAUUUAAUCAGAGAAACACCAAAAAAAUUCCAAGAUUCAACCACUAGCUAGGAACGGUCAUUCCCGCCGUUUUGACCGCAUUUUGAAACGGGCAUAAAAAAUUCAAAAAAAAUAAAAAAUUGGAAAACCUUCGCAUUGUGUCAUUAUAUGUGACCUAGUUACACGGAAAAAUAAUAAACUUGUAAUACGACAAUUCUUUUAAAAAAGUGUUCUCAGAAAUGAGCUAUCAUGUGUGAAGAUUUAUUGGUUUCAACCCAAAUGAUCAAUCUUAUGGGCACAUUCAUGGCAUAGUUUGUUCAAAUGAUAUCAUAUUAUGCACAAGGGUGCAUAUUGGAAUGGCAAACAAUAUUGCCUAAGGAAGUUUUCAUUUUCUUUGGAUGAAAAAACCAUUUUCCAUUUUUCGAGUGCCCAAAAGGAGGUUUUUUGUGAAGAACCUGGCAAAUAAUUGUUGCAAAAUUGGACCCAAUCAUUUUUCUAAAAUACUAGGCCAUAUUUAAUGCACAAUUGAAGAAAUGGUUGGGUGUAAAAAGUUUUGACCCACCUCUCGUGAAAAAGUCAAAUUUCCACCAAUUCAGUUGGAAGCGGGUCAAAUUUGUACUGUAGCUGCCUUGUAGUUUGCUCUUUAUUUUUUCCAAAAAUCAUUCCUAGGUACACAAGUAUAUAUUUAAUCAGAGAAACACCAAAAAAAUUCCAAGAUUCAACAACUAGCUAGGAACGGUCAAGCCCGCCGUUUCGAUCGCAUUUUGAAACGGGCAUAAAAAAUUCAAAAAAAAAUCAAAAAAUUGGAAAACCUUCGCAUUGUGUCAUUUUAUGUGACCAAGUUACCAGGAAAAAUAAUAAACUUGUAAUACGGAAAU